UUCGUCCAAGUGAAAUAGAGGACAGUGGCGGACGGGUGAGUAACGCGUGAGGAACCUGCCUUUCAGAGGGGGACAACAGUUGGAAACGACUGCUAAUACCGCAUGACAUAUAGAUGUCGCAUGGCAUUUAUAUCAAAGAUUUAUCGCUUCAAGAUGGCCUCGCGUCUGAUUAGCUAGUUGGUGAGGUAACGGCCCACCAAGGCGACGAUUGGUAGCCGGACUGAGAGGUUGAACGGCCACAUUGGGACUGAGACACGGCCCAGACUCC
rnacentral:rRNA from 1 species